AGUCAACUUCAUGGUCAAAAAUUGCACAGGUAAUCUGACUUUUUGAGACAAAAACAAUUUGAAGUUGAUGCAAACUUGGUUGAAUUUUUUAAGUUUGCAUUUUGUGGCAAGUACAUUAAAGUUAUUAGGAUAUUGCGGUGCUAUUUAAGUUUAAUCUUGCAUAUUCAAACCCAUCCCCCUUUUUGACAUUUGGACGGCCGUCCAAAUGUCAAAAAGGGGGAUGGGUCUGGCUACGCGAAGCUAAUCAGAGGCUAUCACCUCGUCAAGACUUGUCACCUAAUGGUUAGCAAAAAGAGCCCAUUUCUUGUGCAUAGAGAUACAUUCUGUACAUAGGAAUUGAGUGCAGUCUUUGCAGUAUCCACUGGAAUUAGCUGUAGUACAGUUUUCACAGGUGAACUGUUGAGCAUCAGCUACUUUAUUCAUUAGACUGUAUAUCUCUUUGAGGUUGUUUACAUGAACUACAGGAAAGGCUCCUGCUCCUUCUUCUGGUAACUCUGUACAAUGACGACAAGUGGGACAAGAGAGGUAAUAGAUCUCAUUCUCUUUAUCCAGAGGUAAUUUCACUAGACAGUGCUCACAGAAUGAAUGUAGACAAGGUAAAGUCUUAGGGUUGGUAUAGUGGUCAAGACACACAGGACAGGUGAGUUGUUCUUUCAGUUUGAGAAGACCAAGAGAA